CAGCAGCCGCGGUAAUACGUAGGUGGCAAGCGUUGUCCGGAAUUAUUGGGCGUAAAGGGCUCGCAGGCGGUUUCUUAAGUCUGAUGUGAAAGCCCCCGGCUCAACCGGGGAGGGUCAUUGGAAACUGGGAAACUUGAGUGCAGAAGAGGAGAGUGGAAUUCCACGUGUAGCGGUGAAAUGCGUAGAGAUGUGGAGGAACACCAGUGGCUAAGGCGACUCUCUGGUCUGUAACUGACGCUGAGGAGCGAAAGCGUGGGGAGCGAACAGGAUUAGAUACCCCAGUAGUCCCUGUCUCUUAUAC
rnacentral:rRNA from 1 species